UGGUCCUGACCUUAAAAUCAACUGGUACUUAACUUAUACAUGCAAGUCUCCGCACUCCUGUGAAAACGCCCUAAAAUCCCCACUCGGGACAAGGAGCUGGUAUCAGGCACAUUACUCAGCCCAAAACACCUAGCUAUGCCACAUCCUCAAGGAACUUCAGCAGUAAUUAAUAUUGAAUAUAAGCGUCAGCUAGAUUCAGUUAAAGUACAGAGAGCCGGCAAAACUGGUGCCAGCCGCCGCGGUUACACCAAAUGGCCCAAGUUGAUUCUACUCGGCGUAAAGCGUGAUUAAAGUUAUCUUAUAAUUAAAGUUAAAUCCCCACUAAGCUGUGACACGCUUGUGUUUGAGAAAACCAAAUACGAAAGUUACUUUAACUUAAUCAACUUGAAACCACGACAGUUAAGACACAAACUGGGAUUAGAUACCCCACUAUGCUUAACCGUAAACUUUUACUUACAUCUAAAACGCCAGGGAACUACGAGCAAAGCUUAAAACCCAAAGGACUUGACGGUACCCCACAUCCACCUAGAGGAGCCUGUCCUUUAAUCGAUAAUCCCCGCUUUACCUCACCAUUUUUAGCAAAUCAGCCUGUAUACCUCCGUCGUCAGCUUACCACGUGAGCGAAACCUAGUAAGCAAAAUGCCCCUUACGCCAACACGUCAGGUCAAGGUGCAGCAAACAAAAUGGAAAGAGAUGGGCUACACUUUCUAAUAUAGAAAACACGAAAGACUAUUUAUGAAACCUAGUCAGAAGGUGGAUUUAGCAGUAAAAAUGAACUAGAGAGUCCUUUUUAAUUCGGCACUGGGGUGUGUACACACCGCCCGUCACCCUCUUCAAAGCCCCUAUUUAGUAAAUAACAAACUAAUGCAUGAAAGAAGAGGUAAGUCGUAACAYGGUAAGCCCACCGGAAGGUGUGYUUGGAAA
rnacentral:ncRNA from 1 species